rnacentral:pre_miRNA from 1 species
UCUUCAUUUCACGCGCUCUCUCAUCGGUCAGAGCCACGAGAGAGUGUGAAGAAUGAAGAGA